UACGAAGGGGGCUAGCGUUGUUCGGAAUUACUGGGCGUAAAGCGUGCGCAGGCGGCUUCUCAAGUCAGGGGUGAAAGCCCAGAGCUCAACUCUGGAAUUGCCUUUGAGACUGAGUGGCUUGAGUACGAGAGAGGUGAGUGGAAUUCCCAGUGUAGAGGUGAAAUUCGUAGAUAUUGGGAAGAACACCGGUGGCGAAGGCGGCUCACUGGCUCGGUAACUGACGCUCAUGCACGACAGCGUGGGGGAUCAAACAGG
rnacentral:rRNA from 1 species